AAUUAAGCCGACUGAGUUCCUUUCCUCAUGGGGGCCCAGUGUGCAAUGGCUGCAAACAGCAGCUUCCCUGGUAGUGAUGCAGCCUGUUUGUUGUAUGGGUUGCUCUAAAGGACCUUGGAGACAGUCCUUUCAGAUGGAUGUUCAUGUUUGUGACCUUGCACUACCCCAGUGUAGGCUCCAAACAGGCAUGCGAGGUGCCAUUGGAAAGCCCCAGGGCACUGUGACCAGGGUUCACAUUGGCCAAGUUAUGUCCAUCCGCACCAAGCUGCAGAACAAGGAGCAUGUGAUUGAGGCCCUGUGCAGGGCCAAGUUCAAGCUCCCCAGCUGCCAGAAGAUCCACAUCUCAAAGAAGUGGGCUUCACCAAGUUCAAUGCCAAUGAAUUUGAAGACAUGGUGGCUGAGAAGCGGCUCAUCCCAGAUGGGUCAAGUAUGUUCCCAAUCGUGGCGCUCUGGACAAGUGGCAGGCCCUGCACUCAUGA